rnacentral:tRNA from 1 species
UCUUCCGUAGUAUAGUGGUUAGUAUAUGAGCUUGUCAAUCCGCCAUCCGGCAGGAGCAACAGGAUUUCGCUCGGGACCCGGGUUCAAUUCCCGGCGGGAGAG